GCAUAUCAAUAAGCGGAGGAAAAGAAACCAACAGGGAUUGCCCUAGUAACGGCGAGUGAAGCGGCAACAGCUCAAAUUUGAAAUCUGGCCCCCCGGCCCGAGUUGUAAUUUGUAGAGGAUGCUUCUGGGUAGCGACCGGUCUAAGUUCCUUGGAACAGGACGUCAUAGAGGGUGAGAAUCCCGUAUGCGACCGGCCCGCGCCCUCCACGUAGCUCCUUCGACGAGUCGAGUUGUUUGGGAAUGCAGCUCUAAAUGGGAGGUAAAUUUCUUCUAAAGCUAAAUACCGGCCAGAGACCGAUAGCGCACAAGUAGAGUGAUCGAAAGAUGAAAAGCACUUUGGAAAGAGAGUUAAAAAGCACGUGAAAUUGUUGAAAGGGAAGCGCUUACAACCAGACUUUGGGGCGGUGUUCCGCCGGUCUUCUGACCGGUCUACUCUCCGUCCCGAGGCCAACAUCAUCUGGGACCGCCGGACAAGACCUCAGGAAUGUAGCUCCCCCUCGGGGGAGUGUUAUAGCCUGUGGUGAUGCGGCGCGUCCCGGGUGAGGUCCGCGC
rnacentral:rRNA from 1 species